rnacentral:tRNA from 3 species
GGGCCGGUAGCUCAGUUGGUUAGAGCAGGGGACUCAUAAUCCUUUGGCCGUCGGUUCAAGUCCGACCCGGCCCACCC